rnacentral:rRNA from 1 species
GACGAACGCUGGCGGCGUGCUUAACACAUGCAAGUCGAACGGUGAAGCGCCUUCCUUUUUGGUGGGUGUGGAUGAGUGGCGAACGGGUGAGUAACACGUGAGUAACCUGCCCCCUUCUUCUGGAUAACCGCAUGAAAGUGUGGCUAAUACGGGAUAUUCUGGGUCUGUCGCAUGAUGGGUCUGGGAAAGAUAUUGUUUCGGUGGGGGAUGGGCUCGCGGCCUAUCAGGUUGUUGGUGGGGUGAUGGCCUACCAAGGCGGUGACGGGUAGCCGGCCUGGGAGGGUGGGCGGUCACACUGGGGCUGAGACACGGAGCAGACUCCUACGGGAGGCAGCAGUGAGGAAUAUUGCACAGUGGGCGCAAGGCUGAUGCAGCGACGCCGCGUGGGGGAUGGAGGCCUUCGGGUUGUGAACCUCUUUCGCCAGUGAAGCAGGCCUGCCUCGUUUGUGGGUGGGUUGACGGUAGCUGGAUAAGAAGCGCCGGCUAACUACGUG